ACGGGUGAGUAAUACAUCGGAACGUGUCCUGGAGUGGGGGAUAGCCCGGCGAAAGCCGGAUUAAUACCGCAUACGCUCUAAGGAGGAAAGGGGGGGAUCUUAGGACCUCUCGCUCAAGGGGCGGCCGAUGGCAGAUUAGCUAGUUGGUGGGGUAAAGGCCUACCAAGGCGACGAUCUGUAGCUGGUCUGAGAGGACGACCAGCCACACUGGGACUGAGACACGGCCCAGACUCCUACGGGAGGCAGCAGUGGGGAAUUUUGGACAAUGGGCGCAAGCCUGAUCCAGCAAUGCCGCGUGUGUGAAGAAGGCCUUCGGGUUGUAAAGCACUUUUGUCCGGAAAGAAAACCCCUGCCCUAAUACGGCGGGGGGAUGACGGUACCGGAAGAAUAAGCACCGGCUAACUACGUGCCAGCAGCCGCGGUAAUACGUAGGGUGCGAGCGUUAAUCGGAAUUACUGGGCGUAAAGCGUGCGCAGGCGGUUCGUUAAGACAGAUGUGAAAUCCCCGGGCUUAACCUGGGAACUGCAUUUGUGACUGGCGGGCUAGAGUAUGGCAGAGGGGGGUAGAAUUCCACGUGUAGCAGU
rnacentral:rRNA from 1 species